ACCUCUUUGGUGUAUCGGUUAACAUGCCGGAUUCUCAAUGUUGAGCAUUCCGGUGCGCGGGGUUCGACUCCCCGGAGAGGUA
rnacentral:tRNA from 1 species